UAGGGAAUCUUCGGCAAUGGGGGGAACCCUGACCGAGCAACGCCGCGUGAGUGAAGAAGGUUUUCGGAUCGUAAAGCUCUGUUAUUAAGGAAGAACGAGUGUGAGAAUGGAAAGUUCAUGCUGUGACGGUACUUAACCAGAAAGGGACGGCUAACUACGUGCCAGCAGCCGCGGUAAUACGUAGGUCCCGAGCGUUGUCCGGAUUUAUUGGGCGUAAAGCGAGCGCAGGCGGUUAGAUAAGUCUGAAGUUAAAGGCAGUGGCUCAACCAUUGUAGGCUUUGGAAACUGUUUAACUUGAGUGCAGAAGGGGAGAGUGGAAUUCCAUGUGUAGCGGUGAAAUGCGUAGAUAUAUGGAGGAACACCGGUGGCGAAAGCGGCUCUCUGGUCUGUAACUGACGCUGAGGCUCGAAAGCGUGGGGAGCGAACA
rnacentral:rRNA from 1 species